ensembl:lncRNA
CUAUAGAUAUGGGGAAAAUCCCCUUGAUAAAAAUAUACUUCCCUAUAUCUGAGUUGGUUCAUAUCAUGCCCAAGAUCGUAGGCUCUGGACCAACCUGCCUGGGUUCAAGUCUGUCUCUUCUGCUUGCUAGCAUAGGUGUCAACUUAUUUAAACUCUCUGAGCCAUGGUUCCCUUAUCUGUAAAAGGGGAAUAACUCUUAUUAUUUCCUUCAUAGGGUCAUUGUGAGUACUGGGUUUGACCAGGAAUGAUUUUGCUAAACCACUUUCUUCUGUAUGAACCAGAAGUCGCAUAGCAGAGGUGCCAGUAUAUCUCCACAACUGCCAUUAAAUUGUUUAAGAAUUAAUAUUAAGCGGAAGACUUGGCACCUAUUUCCCUAAACCUCACUCCAUGCCCUAGCCACAUGGCCACCUUCAAGGAAUGGAAGCAACUAAGAGGAAGUUUGGAGUGGCCAAGCACCAACACACACAUCCUUCAUCCUUGAAGACCAGAGCAAGACACACUAAGCCCCAAAAUGAAAUAAAAAGUCUUAGUAAGUCAGAUAGAUAAUAAGUUAUUUGGCCUUUGACUUCCACUGUUUGUGGAGGGUAAGGGCACCUUUGACAUCUCAGAAGCAGAUUGAUUUUCUUGAGUAGAUGAUGGAGAAAAUUGUGCUGAGUUUUGAUCAUUUGUGUAUUCCCAAGUUCCUCCGCACAACCAGACUGUGAAGGAAAACAACUCUAAAGACAUGUAAGCACUUUGGUUAAUUGGGUAUGCAGUAAAUACAAUUUACUCCUGAAGAAACAGUUUGCUGUUUAUUCACUGGGAAAAAAAAAUACUCAGCUUGAUAAUACUGACAGAACACGAAUAUUGUGCGGCAGGUUGAAGAAAAAUCCUAUUUAAAAUGCUUGUGAAAGGGCGAAUAAAAGCAGUCUGGUUUCUCUUCCUUUUGAAAAUCUUGAUUUCAUUGCCUCAUUUGUUAUUUCCUUUCUUUUUUCCUGCUUCCUUUUAAUUUUUCCUUCUGCACUGCUGUAGAAGACUUUCCCAAAGAAAGUUUUCUGAGACAUCAGUUUAUUAAGUAUUUUUCAACAUUAUUUCUAUACCUGAUCUCCUGGCAGCCCUACAAAAUAU